rnacentral:misc_RNA from 1 species
AGGACUCCAGCCAGUGCUGAGG